CUCGAGAAGCACUUCAGCACUUACAGCUUCAGUCUUGGUGUCCCUGUUUGGACAAUUCCUCCAUGAGAGACAUUCUGUUCAGCCAGAGCAGGUCUAGAUAGCAUGUGCAUGGUUUGAUCUGAGGUGCUGUGUCUCAGUGGAAAUAUAGUUUCCGUUACACACAGCGGUUACCGUGUUAAAGCUGCUUUUUGUAGGUGCCUGUCAGCCAUAGAAACAUUCAGGAAACUGACACUGAGUGACAGAACAACUGGAUUGGCAGGAAAGUCCUUUCUUGGGACAGCACAGCAGGAAGAGAGCCAAGCAUGCAUGUUACUGUUAUGCAUCUGUGAAGCAGGCAGGAAGUUUACCUCCUUCAAGAUCACCACGUGGAUCAGGGAGAUGCAUUCUGGCAGGUCCCUCAGGUCACACUUCUGCAGCCCCCCCUACCCCAGCACAACAGCAGGAGCUAUGCAGUCAGCCUCACAGCAGUGA
rnacentral:lncRNA from 1 species